rnacentral:lncRNA from 1 species
CUUGAAUGACUAGAUAGGACAUUUUUUAAUUUAAUCACAUUUUUGUGUUUAAUGUUUAAUUUAAAGUGAGAUCAGAUCCCAAUUCCUGCUAAGAGGAAAUCCUGUCCUCCUAUUUAGAAUAUUCCAAGAGAAUAAGGUGAAUCAAAUUACAACUGCAAAUCAGGUAUGGUAGCACAUGCCUAUAAUCCCAGCACCCAGGAGGCUGAGGCAGAAAGAUCGCUGUGAGUUUGAGACCAGCCUAGGCUACAUAGUGAGUUCAAGGCCAGCCCGAACUACACUGCCAGACCCUGUCUGAAAAAAAGAAAAAAAAAUUAGAACUGUAGCAAAGCCCAGCACCCCCUCCAGUGCAGAUCAGAUUGAUUUAGCAUCCCAUUCCUGACAAAAGAAGGGGCAUACCUUAUUCUAAAGGGAACUAUUACUUGUUUUUAUACCUAUUGUCCUUUUAUAGAAAAUUACCCAGUAAAAAAACUAUAGGACAUGCAAAGGAGCAGAAAACGUUGAUCCAGAGACAAAAGUCAGUAGAGGCAAACUCAGAUUAAUAGAUGUUUGAAUUGUUUGAAUUAUUGAGGGUUGACAAUAAUGAUAAAAAUGCUGAAAGAGCUAGGAAAAAAAGGUGGGGAGAAGGAGACAUGUAUGAAGAGAUAUAAGAUUUUAGCAGAGACCUGGAAACAGAAAAAUACAAACAAUUCUAGAAUAUGACCUAAGAUAACACAUAAAGGAAUAGAUGAAUAAACUUGAAGACAGAGCAGUUGAAAGUAUACAAAGUUAAAGAAAAGGAUUGACAAUAGAAUAUCAAAAUUAAUAAAAAUCAGAUUUGAAGGCAAAAUCAGUUAGUCUGCCAUCCCUGUAAUUGAGCUACGGAAGCAGAUUUAGAGAAUGGUAGAGAAGAAAUGUUCAGACACUUUGACCAUGGAUUCCUUUGAAAUUUAUGGAAAUCAGCACAGAGAAAAACCCAAACAGUUCUCUUAAAUAAUUAAAAUUGAUAAACACUUAGAAAAGACUGAUACUGUUAUACCAGGCUAAAUGUAUCUUCCCCCCAAAUUUAUAUUCACCUGGAACUACAGUGUCACCUAUUUGGGAAUUGGGUUUUUGGUGAAAUUAGUAACUUCAUACUACAUUAAGGUUGGCCUUAAAUCAAAUGACCGAUGUCCUUAUAAGAAGGCCAUGGAGAAAUGUGGGCAUAUAGAAAAGGCCAUGUGAAAAUGGAGGCAGAGAUUAGAGUGAUGCAGCUACAAACUAAAGGUGCCCACAGGAGAAGCUAAGAAAAGGCAAAGGAUCCUUUCCUGGAAUCUUUAGAGGGAACCUUGAUUUCGGACCUCUAACCUCUAGAUCUGUGGAAGAGUAAUUUGUGUGUGUACAUGUGUGGUACUAGGUAUUGAACGGAGGGUCUGUGCACUGAUCUACAUCCCUGGCCCUAUUUUAAUUUUUGAGACAGAAUCUUGCUAAAUUUCCCAGCCUGGGUUCAAACUUACGAUAUUCCUGCCUCAUCCUCCGCAAGUCCUGGGAUUACAGCCAUGGAGUUACCAAAGGGACACUAGCAACAGCUGCUUCAAGAACUGAAGGAAGUACAGGAGGAAGAGUGGGAGCAGGAGCUGCAGGAGGGUGGAGGUGGCUACUUUAAACCAGUUUGAAUACCAAGGCAGAAUUAGAAGGGAGGUUGAAAAGGUAUAUGAGCAUUGUGAUGUCAAUGAAUGACAUUCUCAAUGUGUAUGUAUGCAAACCUCUCCUCCCUCUGGUGUGAGAAAAUCUACCUGGACCUCCUUUACUCGUGUCCUCACAGAAACUGCCCAAGCCCAGAAGUGUUACUGGGACAUGAUUUAGCUUUUUCAGUCAAGAACAUCUCAGAAAUCCCUGGCAGGUCAUCAAACCCCAGACAUGGAGACUUAGCUUUUCAUGACAUCUUGGUUGCAAUUUGGUCAACAAAAGGAGUACCAAGAUCGGUUCCAGUGCUAGUAUCUGUUCAACCUCAUUUUCUGUGUUGUGACCUUAUCUGCUACAUCUUUGAGGUAAUCCACGCUUCUAACGAACUUUUGAAUUCAAAUAUCUUCCCCCAAGAUGGCUCUUGACAACAUGGGUGUCAAAUGUUACUACCUCUAACGACAAACUGGCCUUGACUGACUGGCUGUUCUUUUGUCCAGAUGAGGAUAGCUUGAUGAAUGGAGGCAGCUGUCCUGGUCAUCCAUCACUCCUUGAAGUCUCCAGCCAUCAUUGCCACACUCCUUCACUUAAUGCACCACAUUAUUCCCUGUCCUGGUUAUGUCUAUGGGAACUUUUUAUAGUCCAUUUCUGUGGAGAGGUGCUGCCCCAGGAGUUCACUGAGGAAUCCCUGGAAAAGUCCAAAGGGAAACCUAUCUGCCUAAUAUUUUGGAUCCUGUGCCAGGUGCAGGAAAAGAGCAGCAUCUCUGUUUUUAGACUUCUCUAAGGUGUGUCAGAAGCAGUCCCAAAUUGGCUACCACCUGCUCUACUAUCUGAAGACCAGCAAAGCUGCAUCAGGGAAGAUGAACCUGGCCUAAGCUACCCAGCAAGGUGAUCUGUACACCUGCCUAAUGAUGGACAUGAAGGCCUGCGUGGAGGACAUGUGACUGCUGUGCCACCUUAUGACCUCCAUCUACGAGUUUUCAGAUGACACUUUGAGGAGUAGGAAGCUCUUGAACAUGAUUGUGACUAUUGACUCAGCACGACUUCAGGAGCUGGUCUGCUAUAUGAUGAUGGAGACCUAGUCAUGUUUUGAAAUGACUCAGACUUCAGCAUACUCAUCUAGAACCUGGAAUGGGAAAUCUUUGAGCAGUCUUGUGUCUGGCAGCUUUUCCUAGCCCACAACAUCUACCUGGAGACCAUAAUCAACAUUCCGUAGCAUGUCAAAUACCAGGAACACCCAGAGGCCUUAUCCUUCCUGCUGCUUCAGAAGCCCAGUGAGGAAAUAGUAAAGAUGAUGCUGAACCAGCCCUGCCAUUCUUAGGGCCAAUUCACCACCAUCAGCCUGUUGCACUGGCACAUAAAGCAUGAUAAGCUGCCAGGGGAGCACAUCAAGUUCCUGCUGAUCAAAAAACAGCCUCCCUCACAGGCAAAGCCUGAGGAGCUCCAGCAACAGGUUGGCCCAGCUGACCCUGGAGCAGAUCCUGGAGCACCUGGACAACCUGCAGCUCAAUCUGGCCAACACCAAGCAGAACUUUGUUAGCGAGAAUUAAUACUUUACUGUAGAAUGCACGGGAAAGCUGUGAGAAAGACCACAAGGUGAACUUCAGUAUCCUCUUCUCCCUGGGGAAGGACUAGGAGGACUCUUCCACUAAGCCACACAAGAGCUAGUGAAAGGCAGAUCUGUUCAGCUCUCCAAGUUGGAAGAAUGCCAGUUAGCCUCCCAAGGCUGAGGAGGAUAGGCUCCUGCAGUGCUUAGGAGAAAGAAGACACAAAACCCAAACCCAACAAGCAGAAAUGAAAAGGGCUCUCUGCAGUGGAUUCUGACAAUGACUGAGGCCCUGUGUUCCCAUGCCACUCCAGUUGGACUGCCCUCUUUCCUGGUGAAUCAUAAGGUAAUAGGGGCUUGGAAGAUAUAGGGGACACACCCUCUCCCUCCUGAAGUUUGCCUGGUGGGAAAGAUAAGCUGUUUCCUGUGGUCCACCGUGAGAAACUGUCAUGCAACUCCUCCCUUACCACCUCUUCUGCUCCCACCCCCACUGCUGCUCCCACUUGGGUUCUCAUGGCAGCCAGAGGCUGUAAAAAACAGACUGUGGUUUAGUAUUAUCCUCCCAGUCUCCCAAAGAACUAUUUCAGUAGAGAAGGAAGAUGACAAAAGGGCCUCUGGGCAGAGAAGCUAGGAUGAGAGUAGAUACUUAGUGUGUGGGUAUCUCUUCCUGCUUCCUCCACUCUCUUGAUUUCUUCUAAACAGACAUCUGGUAAUCAGUGUGCCUAAAACAGUGUGGUGAAUUGGAUUUCUGACUUGUGGUCAUUGUCCAUUCUGGGCAGUGCUACAACCUUCAGAAAUAAUCCUGAAAGGCCCCAGCCUGAAGUGCUCUGCCCAGGAAGAUUGGGUUGGCCUGAGGUUGGCACCUCACACUGGGCCAGAGCCCAGGGGAGUCCCAGAGGCAAACUGCUCAUAGCUGUAAAAUGUUUCCAUUUCCUUGGUUCUGUAUUUUGCUUUUAUGUUUCCUCCUCCUCCUCCUCCCCCCUCCUCCCCCCUUCUCCCUCCUCCUCCCUCCUCCUCCCUCCUCCUCCCCCCUCCUCCCCC